AUUGAACGCUGGCGGCGUGCCUAACACAUGCAAGUCGAGCGGUAACAGGUGUAGCAAUACAUGCUGACGAGCGGCGAACGGGUGAGUAAUGCUUCGGAAUCUGCCCAUGUAGUGGGGAAUAACCAGCCGAAAGGUUGGCUAAUACCGCAUACGACCUACGGGUGAAAGCAGGGGAUCGCAAGACCUUGCGCUAUUGGAUGAGCCGAAGUCGGAUUAGCUAGUUGGUAGGUAACGGCCUACCAAGGCGACGAUCCGUAGCUGGUCUGAGAGGACGACCAGCCACACUGGGACUGAGACACGGCCCAGACUCCUACGGGAGGC
rnacentral:rRNA from 1 species